UUCACUUGAAAUGUUCCAUAAACUGCAACUGAAUAAACUGCCUAUGAUUUUUACAUUAAAAUCCAUAUUCUAACAUGAGCUAAAUCUUUUUUGUAUUUUGCAGCAAUACUGAAAGCGCAACAUUCAAGCUGCGAUCAGUAAUCAUGGACUGUCAUCAGAGCAUGUGCCUGGGAAGAAAAAGAACAAAAUAAUAAUAAAAAAAGCCAACAAGUAUGUAUCUUGCAAGAAAGUUUAAGAGAUGAAACAACAGGUCAAGAUCAACUUGCAAACCUCUCAAGAAUAACAAGACAGUGAACUUGACGUUCCAUGAUAUUUGACAUACAGCAAAUCACUAUUUACAUUUUAUCCCAAAACAUUUACCUGAGAAAAGGUCAUGGCGUUAAAUUUGGAGACAUUUACAGCAAUUGCCAAAUGUUUGCUAUCUACAUGAAUGUCAUGCUUCUUAGUCAAAAGAAGGUUGAAGCGCUAAAUGUCAAUUAUUUUAAGUUGUUUGAUGGCAGCACAGAUUGCCAAGCAAUAUAAAAAGAGGUUUAAUAAAUAUUAUAUACACUGUUAACCAUAAAUCUUGCCUAGAAGAGGUCAGAGUUUUGCACAGAGAGGACUUAUGAGGAGCAACAGUGCAGGACAUUAAAGCUCAAUUAUUGCUGUCCUGGAUUAAGGCAUUAUGAUUAAGUUGUGGAAGCAGUAUACUGCUUCUUCUUCUGCUGCUGUCAAACUUGGGAAAGAUCAGAACUGAUGAUUAAAUUACUUUAGUAAAUCAUGCCAUUAUACUUCUUGCAGUAUUUUGUCCUUUUUAGGAAAAGAAAUGGUAGGGCUAGUCUUUCUUUUCAAGAAAUCUAGAAGUUCAAAGAACAUGUUCUGAUGAACUGUAAGCAAAUUUGUUUUGCUAGAGUCUCGUGUUCUUGGAGCUAAUUCAGAAGUUAAGCCUAAAGGUAUAAAAGUUCAUCACAUCAUAACUUUGUAUCUUCUAAGUACACGUCUGCUGUGCAUAUAUAACAACUCAUUCAUUUACCUACAACAGAAAAAAUAGUGUCAAAUGGCAUUGCUCGGAAGGGAGCACUUAGCCAAUUUAAGUACUGAAAACUCCUUGAAAAGAGUUGCAGAACCAUUAGGGUGUACAUUAAGUAAUGUGGGUUUCCACUAUAGAAUCUGUUUGAUAUACACAAGGUAAAAGUGAGAAAAUUUAAUUUAUCUGCUGCAGAAGACUGAAAGCCCAGAUGUUUCCUGGUGGAGUUGAGAAAAGCUUGUUCCAGAAAGAGCAAGCAAAGUAUUUAAAAUAUGUAUUUGAUAAAAUAUGGGAUUCUUUAUUUAAAAAUUCAUGUGGUGAGUGGUAAUGUAACUGUUGAAGUGAUACGUUUGGUUUUCUUGUCUUUAAGCCAUGUUUCUUCACAUUUUGCUCUGUCUCAGUGGAAGUGGAUCUACAACCUAAAGACCUUUCAGACCACCUGCCUUCAAGUAUUCAACAAUUCUUGAAUACUUAGGGAGCUGGACUUUAUGAUCUCUGGAGUUCCCUUCCAACCCCUAAGAUUUUGUGAUUCUUUGAUUCUUGCUGGACCUUAUACAAAUAAUAGUGUUUUUCUAUGCAUUUCUAAACUUUUAGCUGACAAAGCUAUUUCUUAAGUGUGUUCAUUUUGCUGGUUUGAAUAAAAACACCUGAUGUGAA